AUAGGGAAACUUAUGCUAAUACCGGAUAGGUUUUUGGAUCGCAUGAUCUGAAAAGAAAAGAUGGCUUUUCGCUAUCACUGGGAGAUGGGCCUGCGGCGCAUUAGCUAGUUGGUGGGGUAACGGCCUACCAAGGCGACGAUGCGUAGCCGACCUGAGAGGGUGACCGGCCACACUGGGACUGA
rnacentral:rRNA from 1 species